rnacentral:rRNA from 1 species
UACGUAGGGGGCAAGCGUUGUUCGGAAUUACUGGGCGUAAAGGGCGCGUAGGCGGCUCGGCAAGUCGGGAGUGAAAGCCCGGGGCUCAACCCCGGAACGGCUCUCGAAACUGCCGGGCUCGAGUGCGGAAGAGGCAACCGGAAUUCCCAGUGUAGCGGUGAAAUGCGUAGAUAUUGGGAAGAACACCUGAGGCGAAGGCGGGUUGCUGGGCCGACACUGACGCUGAUGCGCGAAAGCCGGGGGAGCGAACGGG